rnacentral:rRNA from 1 species
AUUGAACGCUGGCGGCAGGCCUAACACAUGCAAGUCGAGCGGAUGACGGGAGCUUGCUCCUUGAUUCAGCGGCGGACGGGUGAGUAAUGCCUAGGAAUCUGCCUGGUAGUGGGGGACAACGUUCCGAAAGGGGCGCUAAUACCGCAUACGUCCUACGGGAGAAAGUGGGGGAUCUUCGGACCUCACGCUAUCAGAUGAGCCUAGGUCGGAUUAGCUAGUUGGUGAGGUAAAGGCUCACCAAGGCGACGAUCCGUAACUGGUCUGAGAGGAUGAUCAGUCACACUGGAACGUAGACACGGGCCAGACUCCUACGGGAGGCAGCAGUGGGGAAUAUUGGACAAUGGGCGAAAGCCUGAUCCAGCCAUGCCGCGUGUGUUAAGAAGGUCUUCGGAUUGUAAAGCACUUUAAGUUGGGAGGAAGGGCAGUAAGUUAAUACCUUGCUGUUUUGACGUUACCGACAGAAUAAGCACCGGCUAACUCUGUGCCAGCAGCCGCGGUAAAAC